AUUGAACGCUGGCGGCAGGCCUAACACAUGCAAGUCGAACGAGUGGCGGACGGGUGAGUAAUGUCUGGGAAACUGCCCGAUGGAGGGGGAUAACUACUGGAAACGGUAGCUAAUACCGCAUACUAUCGGAUGUGCCCAGAUGGGAUUAGCUAGUGGGUGGGGUAACGGCUCACCUAGGCGACGAUCCCUAGCUGGUUUGAGAGGAUGACCAGCCACACUGGAACUGAGACACGGUCCAGACUCCUACGGGAGGCAGCAGUGGGGAAUAUUGCACAAUGGGCGCAAGCCUGAUGCAGCCAUGCCGCGUGUAUGAAGAAGGCCUUCGGGUUGUAAAGUACUUUCAGCAGGGAGGCGUUACCCGCAGAAGAAGCACCGGCUAACUCCGUGCCAGCAGCCGCGGUAAUAC
rnacentral:rRNA from 1 species